CGGCGAGUGAAGCGGGAAGAGCUCAAAUUUGAAAUCUGGCAGUCUUCGAUUGUCCGAGUUGUAAUCUAUAGAGGCGUUUUCCGUGCCGGACCGUGUCCAAGUCUCCUGGAAAGGAGUAUCAAAGAGGGUGAUAAUCCCGUACUUAACACGACCACCGGUGCUCUGUGAUACGUCUUCUACGAGUCGAGUUGUUUGGGAAUGCAGCUCAAAAUGGGUGGUGAAUUCCAUCUAAAGCUAAAUAUUGGCGAGAGACCGAUAGCGAACAAGUACCGUGAGGGAAAGAUGAAAAGCACUUUGGAAAGAGAGUUAAACAGUACGUGAAAUUGUUGAAAGGGAAACGAUUGAAGUCAGUCGUGUUCUUUGGAUUCAGCCAGUUCUGCUGGUCUACUUCCUUGGAACGGGUCAACAUCAGUUUUGUCCGGUGGAUAAAGGUAGUAGGAAUGUGACUUCUCCGGAAGUGUUAUAGCCUAUUAUCACAUACACUGGGUGAGACUGAGGACUGCAGCUCGCCUUUAUGGCCGGCCUUCGGGCACGUUCGAGCUUAGGAUGUUGACAUAAUGGCUUUAAAC
rnacentral:rRNA from 1 species